UCUUGCUGGUGAGCACUUACUUGUACAGACUGUAUUUUUCUUUAUUUCCUCUUGUUUGUUGCUUGUGUUGGAGUGAUUGGAACCAUCAAGAAUGGGAAGGAGAGUGGAUAGUGUCUCGUCUGCUGGCCAAGGUCUACGGCUCCAGCUCAUUUAUCCUGAGUGUAAAAAACCUGUUUCAGGCCCAGGUCUGGAUGUGGGUCUGGGCCUCGCUGGGCAUGCCCAGCUGGCUGGGGCUGAGAAAUGGCUGCAUCUCAUACUCUCUGCUCCAGUGCACCCAGGCAGGCACGGGACCAGGCCACCUGCUGGGGCCUCAGGGCCUCAGUCUAACAGCGGUCUGAUCAGCCGUGGGGAGGGAGAUGGAUGGGGCUGGGGCCAGCACACACACACACAGGCAUACACACGGCAAGGAGUCCGCUGUUACAGCUACUGCACGGCAGUCUAUCUCAUAAUGAAGAGAGAGUGGGCCGAGACCUGAUAGUGGGUGUCUAUUGGGAAAAUGAGCGGGGAGGGGUUGACGGACUAUGAAACAGUAGCACUAUACAUCAAGUAAGGUAUAUUGGGGUCGGUUCUAAUUGUUGUAAUUCAGCUACAGUCUACGACCACCUGAGCUGUUUCAAUAAACCGUAUAUGACAACCUAUACAUUAAGCUCUUUAGGUCGAAACCUAGCUUUUAAAAUCCUUUUCAACAUCAUUCACACAAGGCCGGAGUACCCUGCGCAUACCUAAUAAUUCUUUCUUCUGAUUAACGAUGUCUGUUUAUUCAAUGGAGGGAUCUAAUUUCAAUCCAUUACGCUUCCAUUCAGGCACGUCUCAAGUAUUUGCCAUUCAACAUGCCUGUCUAUGAAUGAGAUGACAGAGCAGUCUGUAAUUCCCAUUUUUCUUGUUUUCCAUUUGCUAAUGUUGGAUUUAUUAACAUUCUGUCUCUAAUAGCAUUCCACUUCAGAAUCGUGACAUGAAAAGCAAUUAGCACUCCCUCCAUAAUAGCGAUUUCAGAAUUUGCUGUCAUUGUCCCAUUCUCUCCUCCUAAAAAAAACAUAUAUUCAUUUGUGGAUUACUUUGAUAAUCAUUUUUUACAAUGACAUCUGUUUUGAUUUGUUACAACUUUGUCUGAAAAGUGGGCCUGGGUGUGUCCAUUCAACUGAUGAUUGCUGUUGAAUAAAUAUUUGUGUAGUUAAAUCUGUUUCAGAAAGUAUUGUUUUAGUUGAAAAUAAUUCCUCUAUUUGUAUGUGUUCUUCUAUUUCAGAUAAUGGACACACAUAUAAAACACCACACACACCCAACCACACACACACCACACACAACACCACCACAUCA
rnacentral:lncRNA from 1 species